UCUCCGUUGGUGAACCAGCGGAGGGAUCAUUACAGAGUCGUAAAAAACUCCCAAACCCAUGUGAACUUACCAUUGUUGCCUCGGCGGACCUACCCUGUAGCUAGCUACCCUGUAGCCCGCCGGUGGACCAUUAAACUCUUGUUAUUUUAUGUAAUCUGAGAGUCUUAUUUUAAAUAAGUCAAAACUUUCAACAACGGAUCUCUUGGUUCUGGCAUCGAUGAAGAACGCAGC
rnacentral:misc_RNA from 1 species